CUAAGCAGUCCUGCAGGGGUUUUCCUCCACAUGUCAGUGUUGGACAUACCAGCACAGCUCUCCUGUUUUCUUCAAGAGAACCUGAAGUCAAAAAGCUGUUGUCCUGUGAAGCUGGUGCUACUCCGUGGUCAGUCUCACCGGGAAAGGUGUACCACCAACCACAACCCUCUCUUGUGUGCUAGAUACAGUAGGGAAUAUCUACUCGCAGCCCACGAGCCAGUAGCCAGUGAGUGCGAGAGAGAUGGUAAUACAGUGCAUGGGAACGUGCAACACACUAGAGAAGCUCAAGUCAACAAGAUCUAUUGAGCCGUAGACUACAACACGGAAGAGGAGCUCACUGGCCCUGUGUCGCAUUAAAAUCACUGUAAGAAGACAUCAACCUUUUUCUUUGGGUGCUGUGGUUGUGCGGAUUGCUUGCCCCCGCCGGGGUCUGAGGGUGCCGUGUCCCGUAAAGUGGGUACGUUGGAAGAGGUGAGCUGCAGUGGAUAUCUUCUGAAGAUCCCCACCCUGGAUUGUGCAGCAAUUUCUGCCAAUGUGCGGGAGGACAGUGAUAAUGAAAAACAAAAUAAUAAACAUGUUAUACUCUC